rnacentral:tRNA from 1 species
GCAGCGGUGGCUCAGUGGUAGGACUCUAGCCUUCUGUGCAGGAGACCCAGGUUCAAUUCCCGGCCAAUGCA